GCUUAAUUAAGUCAGACUUUACAUGAUAAUAGUUUGUGUCAUCUUGGAUCCCUUUUUGAUGCAAUGAGAUUGUUUUCUACUUAUAUAUAGCUUCUUACUCUUAGUUCUUUCCUAUGUUUCGUUUUCUUUUUUGCUUGUUACCAUCAGUAAAAUAUCAAGUUGCUGAUCCUUAGCAUUUUGGGUUCUUGGUAAUUGUUAUGCCUACCUAUAUAUGAGAACUAUCCCGUAAAAGUUAAAAUUUGUGGCAUUUUCUCAAUAAUUUCUUGAUUAUCUUCUUUGAGAUUGAGAUUCUUAAUUGCCAAAUUCAUUUAGUGAUACUGAGCUCAGUUUCUAUUAUUAUUGUUUUGUAAUUUUGGAUGUUAGAGCUAUGUGGUUAAUUUGUGGUAUUAUUAAAUGAAACAAGUCUUGGAUAAUAGGAAUGUAUAUGUUAGCUUCAGUGAACUAGUACUUUCAGAUUACUUUAUGAUAAAUCCCAUGUUUUUGGAGACUCAUUUGGCCUGAGGAUCCUCUAAAUAUUCUUGGAUCUGUCACUUCCAUAUAUUAAUUGAAUAUAACCUAUGAUCUGCAGAUUAAGUAUCACUCUCCUGAAGAGGAAAUAGCCUUUGGUCCUGCUUGUUGGUUAUGGGACUAUUUAAGAAGAAGUGGAGCUUCUGGGUUUCUGCUACCCCUUUCUGGUGGAGCAGAUAGCUCGUCUGUGGCUGCCAUAGUUGGCUGCAUGUGUCAGCUUGUGGUAAAAGCUCCGAAUCGACAAAAUCACGGGCAAAGGUUCUAGCAGAUGAAAUUGGCGCAUGGCAUCUUGAUAUCAGUAUAGAUGGUGUUAUUUCUGCACUUCUGACGCUGUUUCAAGCAGUGACAGGAAAACGACCACGAUAUAAGAUAGCUGGAGGAUCUAAUGCUGAGAACUUAGGUUUGCAAAACAUUCAAGCACAAAUCUGAAUGGUGCUGGCUUUUAUGUUUGCAUCACUUCUACCUUGGGUUCAUAACAAACCUGGGUUUUAUCUUGUUCUGGGUAGUUCCAAUGUGGAUGAAGGAUCGGAAAGGGUAUACCCAACAACAACUUGACGAGGUCCGCAUUGAAGUAGCCGACUACUUACAGACUCUGCUGUAGGUUCUGACCAGUUUCUUGAUUUUGAGUUAGGCUAGCUUUUAAUUAACUUUUUUGUAGCAAUUAUGAACAAACAUGAAUACUAAUUGCUAGGCUAGCCUUGUAGUAGGUGAAUUGGGGUUUUAUUUUGCCCAUUUUGUAAACUAUUAAGGAUGAUGAUUUCAGAUAUAAUACUCCAAUAUUCAAAUCACUCUUGUCAAC